UACGACGGGUGCAAGCGUUACUCGGAAUUACUGGGCGUAAAGCGUGCGUAGGUGGUGAGUUAAGUCUGUCGUGAAAGCCCCGGGCUCAACCUGGGAAUGGCGAUGGAUACUGGCUCGCUAGAGUGCGGUAGAGGAGAGUGGAAUUCCCGGUGUAGCAGUGAAAUGCGUAGAGAUCGGGAGGAACAUCAGUUGCGAAGGCGGCUCUCUGGACCAGCACUGACACUGAGGCACGAGAGCGUGGGGAGCAAACAGG
rnacentral:rRNA from 1 species